GUCAGUAUGGUGCAGUGGUUUGAGCAUUGGACUAUAACUCUGGAGACCAGGGUUUGAUUCCCAGCUUGGCCA